GACUCUCGACAACGGAUAUCUCGACUCUCGCAUCGAUGAAGAACGUAGCGAAAUGCGUUAUUAUUAUGACAGGGACUUGAUUGUAUUAUGUUUUAGACAUUCAAAUGAGUGUGA
rnacentral:rRNA from 1 species